GACGAACGCUGGCGGCGUGCCUAAUACAUGCAAGUAGAACGCUGAAGGAGGAGCUUGCUUCUCUGGAUGAGUUGCGAACGGGUGAGUAACGCGUAGGUAACCUGCCUGGUAGCGGGGGAUAACUAUUGGAAACGAUAGCUAAUACCGCAUAAUAGUAGAUGUUGCAUGACAUUUGCUUAAAAGGUGCAAUUGCAUCACUACCAGAUGGACCUGCGUUGUAUUAGCUAGUUGGUGGGGUAACGGCUCACCAAGGCGACGAUACAUAGCCGACCUGAGAGGGUGAUCGGCCACGCUGGGACUGGGACACGGCCCAGAAUCCUACGGGAGGCAGCAGUAGGGAAUCUUCGGCAAUGGACGGAAGUCUGAACGAGCAACGCCGCGUGAGUGAAGAAGGUUUUCGGAUCGUAAAGCUCUGUUGUAAGAGAAGAACGAGUGUGAGAGUGGAAAGUUCACACUGUGACGGUAUCUUACCAGAAAGGGACGGCUAACUACGUG
rnacentral:rRNA from 1 species